CGAAAGGGGAAGACUCUGCAGUGACACUAGUUUUCUGCAGUUUCUGAUGAUAAGAUCGUGCAGAUGCCGGAGACCGAUGACACAAUCUGGAAUCCUCUUUAUAUCACUGUUGCUUAGGUCUAGAUAAAUUACAUUUAUAGGGACAUGCGUUAAUCUCUUGAGGCUUUUGUUGCCUAUGAUAAGAUACUUGAGGCGAGACCAGCGUUCAGCAACAGACGCAGGAACAUCUUCUAUCUUUGUGUUUCCUACAUCAAGAUAUUCAAUGUUGCUAGAAAUAUUUGGAAAAGUUCUCAACCGUGAGCAACCGUUCAUGUCGACUUUCUCAAGAGAUGCUAAGUUGAUGUUGUUGGUGGGAAUGACUCGUAGUUUAGUACAGUAGCUCAUCUUCAACUCUUUCAGUCUGUGUGAGUUUUUAAUAGAAGAGGGAAGCUCCACCAGGCUUGUGCCCGUCAGUGUCAAUGUCUCAAGAUUAGUAGCAUUCGUAAGAUUUGGCAUUUCUUUCAGCUUAUAGGAAAAGCUAAGAUCCAUCUCGUUGAGAUUUGCAAGGGGCUACAUGUGUCAAACACAACAAAUGAGAAAAAUCGUAUAUAUAAAAACUUUUGGAGAUUUUUUUUAUAUGAAAUUUUAAAUUAGUGAUCAUGCGAAAACAAAAUAUUUACAAAGUGAUACUAUGUAAACUAAGUGUGAAAGGAUGAAAAAAUAACUGAUUAGGCCCUAUGAACGGUUAACCUCAAACCAUCUUCUAAGUAAAGCCUUUGAUUGGUGGUAUGAGUUAGUCUUGAUUAAGUUGGAGUUAUGAGUAAAACUCAUGAAUUAGUUUUAAGUUUUUGAGCUUUUGUUUGAGUUAUAAUAAAUUAUAAAUUAUAGUUGAGUUACAAUUUUGAAUUACUCCCUUUGUAAAACUAAUAACUCAUAUUCUUAUAGCAAACUUACUAUAAAAAUCUACCUUUUAUACCACAUAAUUUUUACUACGAGUUACGUCAAAUUGUAACCUUUUUUGUAAUUCAAAUCUAACACUACUUGUCACCAGUAGGAUGUAAACUAAGUGUGAAAGAAUGAAAAAAUAACUGAUUAGGCCCUAUGAACGGUUAACCUCAAACCAUCUUCUAAGUAAAAAUAGUAUAAGAUUUUUUAAAAUAACAAAUACCAACCUGGAUUCCUCCCCAGAGCUUCUCGAGAUUGCUGUGCGUCAUACGGAGCGUAACGAGACAUUCUGGCUGAAAUGUUGAAGGAAGACGUUUUCCUGGGUAAAACGCCCAAUCAAGCAUACUUAGACGAGGCAGAUAUGUCAAAUCCCCUAGUAUGCAUGGGAAGCUAGCAUUUUCAUUAUAAGAACCCAUGUAAAAUCUUAAGAACCGGAGAUUACGCAUUCCUUCAAAGGCUCGCCCACUUAUAGAAAUCAUCCCGCCGACCUUCGACGUAUCAAGUGAUAUACCUAUGACAGAUCCAGUCCCCUGACAUACAUUUCAAAAAGUCUGGUUAAAACUGUUAUUUUUUUUUGGGAACAUAUAACUGUUAUAUCUAGAAAACCAAAUAUAUAAAUAUAUGUAAGAACUUACUGUUUCAUUUGCAAGCACAGUACAAAUCUCGUCGGCCUCUACUAAAAACUGACGUUUCCCGGGCUCAUCAGACUGUUCAUAAACUACUUGUCUCCCCAAUUGUUGUAGUAAAGAGUGCAUCUCUAUCCACAAAAAUUAUUAUAAGAACUCACCCCGUGCCACAUGCGCAGGUUAUCAUCUAGUUGUUUAAUAUUCAGAAUCUUAUUAUCUUUUCUGUUUAUGUGAGUUCGAACAUCACUAUAAUUUAUAUGCAAUUCAAUCAAAAUAAGCCAGUUUUCAUAUGAUAUAGAGAUAUCAUUUUUUGUUAACAUUCAGCUACACAAACAGGAUCUUCAUACCUCUGUAAAAAAACAUAGGUCAUGUAUCAACAAGGAUCUCAUGGAGCCUAUACUCUAAUUUUACAUUACUAGAGACGCAGAGCAACACACCCAACACAAAAUUUCUGUAAAAGAAUACAUAUAUUUAUGAUGAGUCAAAGCUUGUGGGUGUUUCAGUCACUGAACUCUAAACUUCCACUGCAUGAGCUGCUACCCAUCGCGGCUAUGCAAAGAAAGGCCUCUCAUAACCAUCAACUUUCUUCUCCUUGAAGAAAUUUUCUCUCUCAACAUGCUUUGCAGGUGGUGGUGGAAUCACAACAGCCUGGGAUUAUGAUUGCGAAUGGCUAUCACCACCACCGUGUAAUAACUCCUUUGAUGGUAAAGGACGAGUGAGUGGACGGUUUAUUCUUUCACUAUGUAUAGAUGAUGAUCCAAGCAAGGUGUGUGGAUGAGGUGAUGGCUCUUAUUCAUCCUCAUGCAUUGCUCUAGCUUUCCCUUUUCGCAAUCUGCAAGCACACAAGAAUAAUAGCCAUUUUAAGACUCCAAGAACCUUAUGAAAGCAAUCAAUAAGGGGAGAGAGACAUUCUGACUAACUGCUCAGUCUCCUCUUCCUCGUCUCCAAGAUUAAGAUGUGUUGGAUUGGAGAUAGAGCUAUUUGCAGUAGAAGCGUUUAGCUCAAGUUUCUUGUGGCCAUUGGAUGUAGUAGACCUGCCUGGCACUGUGAUUUUACCAGACAGUAGAUCUUUAUGUCUGUUAAGAAUCCUCUGAAGUUUCUCAUUCAGUUCGAUUGCUAGAGAAACUGCUCUUUCAUUCCUGCACAUACAAUCCCAUCUACUUGAGAAAGACAUGCCAUCUUAAGCAAUAGAGAUGGAAAACUUGCCUUGAGGUCAUGAUGAGAUGCAUUACACGCUCUUUCUGAAACGAGCAUUGCUCGACAAGAUCAAGAGUAAACUCAUCUAUUGCUCCCUAAAAGGUCAAAAAGUGGAUCAAACUUGAGUUAUCACUCAGACUAAGAGAUCAACAAGAGAGCCAAAGAAUGUCUGUUUAAUACCUCAGGAUUUUGAGAAUCAACUGCAUCAAGCACUUGCUUCAAAACUUCUAAUGAAGCACUGGCCUCCUGUAAAAUGCUACAAGCAAAAGGAGAUACAAGUGAUUAAGCAUUAAGAAUUGAGGUACCUGACAUGUGGAAGAAGAAGAAGAUACCUAGAAGGAGAGGUAGUGUGAGACUCUCACUGCUGAGUAGUGGGAGCAGUCCCUUCGCUUCUAGCAUACAAAUAGAAAAAUCUAAUAUCCGUAGCAUACAAAACAAAUCACAAAUACCUCCAAAAAUUCAGAUAUCCAUCCGUGUCCAGCCCUGUUGCAUGAGAUUCCACGAGAAGUCUGCUAUGUUUUUCAUCUUCUUCUUCUUCCUCCUCAGACCACCUCCAGUAACCUGCAUUGCAUAUUUACUGGCUUUAAUUAAUAUUUUCACGAGACCCAAGCGGCUCCAUCCUUGUGCUGGUAGCUGCUGCUGCCUACAACUUCAGGGUAACUACUGCUUUGGCUGCUGCUACUCUCAAAUUCCUCGGUCAAGAUAUGCACACCACACUCAAUAAUGUUUUCAUCGUUGUCUCGGCAGCUGAAUUCAAAUAUAAUAUCACUCCUAGACACGUCCACGUCAUGGCAUCUCUCUUUUUGAAACAAGUCCCACAAAGCACUAACAGGUGUUCCGACAGAAAUGCAUGCGUCGUCUCGACAGACAACCUAAGUUCGUUGAUGAGCUCACCUUUGCUUCUUAGACGACAAUAGAGACUACUAUCUAAGUACUGUACCCCUAGGGCUGAUGAAAGCAGGACGCAUGCCUUGAAACUUGAAGACGUGGAGAAAGUACCCUCAGGGAUGGUUAUGGAGUUUCCUGUGGCUUUGUGAGUGAACUCAGCAGGGAUUUCUCUGCCUGGUAACAAUAAACACUUGUAAUUGACAAACAGACAAGAAACUGAAUCAGUUCACUACAAGGACGAGGAGGAACAUCUUUCAACCAAGCCAUGGUGGUUUGGUUUUUCGUCUAGAGAUUAGACGGGUUUUAAUCACUGAUAUUGUUUCAAAACUAUCACACAUGUUAGACUAAGGCUGCAUUAGUUUGUACAAAAACCUUUUUUGAUUUAAAUAAAUUCAGAAAAAAUGUCAAAAAUAUCACACUCAUAAUAUGGCUUUUAUGUUUACAUUAACCAAUUUACAUUCACUAAUCUAGACUUAAGAUUUAGAGAUGAGUGGUGGGGUAAGUUUUUAGAAUCUGAAAUCUAGGAUUCUAAUAAAUAUAUAAAUAAAUACUUAAAACAAAUUAAAAAAAAUAAUUUCAAAAAGAAUUUUCGAUUUUCGAAAAGAAAUUUUAAAAAAGAAAUUCAAAAUAUUUAUAAAAAAAAUCGAAUUUAAAAAAAGUAUAAUUCGAAAACAUUAAAAAAAAUAUUUUGUUUUUAUUUUUUAUUUAUUGAAAUAAUUAUUUAUUAUAUAUAUAUAGAGAACGGUAAAGAUGAAUUUCCCCCAUAAAUUUAACUUUUUUCAAAAAAAGAACACCUAUCCCAUCGUUGUAUUAUUAGCCUUCUUGCUUCUUCAUCAAGUUUCAAACAGUUACGGAACAUGGACUUUCUGAAUGGAUGGAAAAUGGAAGAUGCUCUUCUCUCUUCUUUCUCCAAAUUCACAUCGUUGCAUUUGUUGGGAGUAGUACUAUACGCUCUUGAUGCAGAUAACAAGAAACGUACGCUUUUGAGCGAUCCACAAUCAGUUGCAUCGAGAAGCCAAACCGAAAGGGGAAGACUCUGCAGUGACACUAGUUUUCUGCAGUUUCUGAUGAUAAGAUCGUGCAGAUGCCGGAGACCGAUGACACAAUCUGGAAUCCUCUUUAUAUCACUGUUGCUUAGGUCUAGAUAAAUUACAUUUAUAGGGACAUGCGUUAAUCUCUUGAGGCUUUUGUUGCCUAUGAUAAGAUACUUGAGGCGAGACCAGCGUUCAGCAACAGACGCAGGAACAUCUUCUAUCUUUGUGUUUCCUACAUCAAGAUAUU
rnacentral:lncRNA from 1 species